AUUUGUCUCCUGUGCUGGAGGGCAUGCUGAUGUGUUUUUGGUGGGAUUCCCCUAUCAUCGUCCAAUAUUGGCAAUGAAUCAAAGUUAUCUCAAUUAAGUUUUUAGGAAUAUUCCACCAUUCCAAGCUGAAAAUGUGUUACACUGCCAUCCGACCCCAAUUUCCAAUAAUAAGAAAUCUAAUCUUUUUCCACUAUCAAAUCCCUAACAGCUGCCCUCUGCA